rnacentral:misc_RNA from 1 species
CCGAGUGAGGCCUCCGGGCCCGACCUCCAACCCUUUGUGAACACACCCCGUUGCUUCGGGGGCGACCCUGCCGUUUCGACGGCGAGCGUCCCCGGAGGUCUUCCAACACUGCAUCUUUGCGUCGGAGUAUUAAGGAUAAUGAAACA